UCGAAACAUCGUCUGCUGGUGUAGAAUGCAACAACUCACUCCAAAAAGAAUUUCAAUGAACUGCCAUUUGAAAUGCAAAUCGGAGACAUCUUACGUCAACAACAGGCGCGAAUCUAGCACCUGGCGAGCACCCGCGGCUGCCCGUGCUGGAUUCUUCGAAAUGUUCAGCACCGACGGGUGCUGGAGGUUUGCAGGCUUACAAUUUGCAGAGAUGGAGGAAGAGGUGAUGAGUGAUUUACACUCAUUAUAUUAUGCCAUUAAUUUCAUGAUUUUGCUAUCUUGGAGAGUAUUUUAGAAGUGCUAACAGGUGAUUUUGGUGUUGUUUUGUAGAUUGAUGGAAAUGGAGAAAACUAGAGCUAAAAGAGGUCAAAUGAAGGAAAUAGGCAAGAGCUAGCGAAAUUGGAUGAAAUGACCAAAACGUAAGAGAUCCAAAGUUCGAGGAUUAAAAUACAAUUAAUCAAAAGUCGUGUCGAAACUUGAAAUGAAGAUCCGAGAGUUCUAGAAGCCAAUUGGACAAAGGAAGGUGUCAAAGUGAUCAAAUUUAGUCAAGAUAUGAUCAUAAAUCAUCUUCCAACCAAAAAGUUUUGCGCCGGAGUUUUCGUCUCACAUUUAGACUCAUUUUUGACAUAGAAAACGAUCGAAUUGGAGAAUGAUUCCUGAAGGAAAAUUGUAGUCCUUUGAAUUAGCUUUCCAACGCAUCUUGAAUUACUUCAAUCGGAUAUUGAACAAAAAAGUUAUGAUAAAAAUACUGAAAGCUG
rnacentral:lncRNA from 1 species